rnacentral:lncRNA from 1 species
UUUUCUAGACAGAUGAGAACGGCGGCGAGUUAUCUUUAACUGCUCCUGGAUUCCAGAGGACAACAGGCACAGAUGGCGGGACUGGCCCAGGGCGGCACAGCACGAUCCAGCCUGCCGCUGUCUCCAAAGCAUCACAUGGGGAGGUGCAGAGAUGGACACCACCUAGACCCCGACCCAGAGGGCUGGGGCCGCCAGACCCUGAAGUCCCUGGAGGCAGAGACUGGGCCUGGCCAUCCUGCCGAUCCCACACACCACAGCACGGCUGCUGCUCGGAGCACAUUCUCAGGAAAGACUAGAAGAGCCGGUGAACCGAGUGGAAUUGAAAAAGAAAGCGCUCUUGAGAAGAGCCGUCUGUGCAUUCCAGGGCGCUGCCUCCCUCUGGGCGCCUGCCUGGUCCUCUACCCAUUGUCCACCACCAUCACCACCACCACCACCAUCACCAUCACCAGUAUCACCACCACCAUCAC